GUGAUCUCUCUCUCUCUCUUCAAUCAUUCCAACCUUGCCAAUUACACGCUCUCACAAACCCUAAAUCUAUCCGAUCGGCGGCUGUUAAUCUUUCUCUCCUCGUCUUCUAAUACCUCGGGUAAGCAACUGUUCAGAUGAAGCCCGUCGUUGUCGGCGGUCUUUUAAUGUUGUCUCUGGCGGCGGCUAUUCGAACUUCCGUCGGUUGAAAUCAAAUCAAACGGCGUCUGUGUUAAAGUGCUCGCGUCUCCCAUCAACCCGUCCGAUAUUAACAGAAUUGAAGGUUUGUAGUUUAAUCUAUUAAUCUGUUAUUUGGGUUUUAGAUGUUUGUUGUUAGCAUAUGUUGGGUUUGUAGUUUAAUCUAUUAAUCUGUUAUUUGGGUUUUAGAUGUUUGUUGUUAGCAUAUGUUGUUGUAUGAAAUUCAAGUUGAUCACCAUUCAGGCAACUAGAUUCUUUAUCUCAUCAUUUACAUGUAGCCCACCUGUUUGUGGAAAUGUCUAUGUGAACAAAGACACAUCAAUGUUGAGGUACCGCCUUUGGGUCGUUUUUGGCGGACACCAUUUAGGGGUUUCAAUUCUUUCAAGAACAAUUACCUCCUUGUGGACUCUCUCAUGAUGGAUGGAUCCUUCAUUCGACAUGUAAUUUGAAACUGAAGAACUCUGGCUAUAGGGAAUUUUCUGUUUUCCCCAGCGGCGUCGUGUUAUACCCGGUCAAAGCACCAGUUGGGAAUCAUGCAUUACCAAUAUAUCCCAAGCCACCUGAGCACCACACCACACCACCUCCUACUUAUCCUAAAUCGAUCAAUUAGCGAUGUUUUACCGAUAGUGUGGUCUUUAGUUGGUGGUUGAUGAUAUUGGUUUUUCACUGGCCGGUGAGUGAAGCGGCUAGAAGUGGUUCCGACACGUGUGAUUGUGACAAUUGAUGGGUUUUACAGGUAAGGAGAAGGGUGGAGAUAUAGCUAAUCACAAAAGUGAUAUUGGUUAAAUUAUUGGAUGGGUGUUGGUGGUUUAGGUCUUUAGUUGGUGGUUGAUGAUAUUGGUUUUUCACUGGCCGGUGAGUGAAGCGGCUAGAAGUGGUUCCGACACGUGUGAUUGUGACAAUUGAUGGGUUUUACAGUUUACAUUGGCAUCAAAUAAGGGAAUUUUUGGAUUUCAAGGGAACUCUUUUAUGAGAGGAGUUACAGUGGGAAGCAUGGUGGUGCUGAUGCCAUUGUUGAUGAAGUUCCUUACAUCAAGAUGUUUCUUAGCAAGUACUCUGAUGUCUGUGCUAUGGUUUCAUCUCAACCCAUUACUUUUUAUUUUGGCUUCGUAAGGAGAAGGGUGGAGAUAUAGCUAAUCACAAAAGUGAUAUUGGUUAAAUUAUUGGAUGGGUGUUUGUACAGGUCAUAGAUUGGUCAAUGUGGUCUUUUAAAUAUCUUUUUCUUGAGAGAAGUUGGGCUAAUAUGAAAGGUGAUAUGACGGUUGCUAUUCCAAAAACUUCAACUCCGCCAACAAUGUUGAAGCUCUUUAAGGGGCAACCUUCAGUGGAUAAAGCUCACCAAAUAUUAUUAUAUUAACACGAGGUGGAGAAGAUGUAUUCCUACAAACUGGGCGUGUUCGGUUCAACUUCAGCCACUUACAGCUCGCAUGGAAACAAUGCCUAUACUCAGGUAUGCAUAUGCAUAUGCAUCUGACUAUCUCCUUCACAUUGUAUUCUGGUAGGCAUAUGGAACAUUUCGUUCAUUUCCAAAUUCUAUUUAAACAUCGACAAAGACGAGAAACCUACAAAUAAUACAUCAAAUGCGGUGUAUAAAGAAGUUUUUAAUGACUUGUGAUUUUUGCAUCACUUCCUUUUUUCAGUUCAUUGUAGUUUACUAAUUUCAUUAGUACUUGAACGUUUAUUUAUUUCAAAGGAUUAUUUUAACAAUGUUAAGUUAUAUAUGUGUG